rnacentral:misc_RNA from 1 species
GAAAUGUGAUAAGUAGUGUGAAUUGCAGAAUUCAGUGAAUCAUCGAAUCUUCGAACGCACAUUGCGCCCCUUGGUAUUCCAUGGGGCAUGCCUGUUCGAGCGUCAUUUGUACCCUCAAGCUCUGCUUGGUGUUGGGUGUUUGUCCCGUCUCCGCGCGUGGACUCGCCCCAAAGUGAUUGGCAGCCGGCGUACUGGUCCCGGAGCGCAGCACAUGUCGCGCAAACGAGUGCCUUGGUACGGCGGCGUCCAUAAGCCCCUCUCUCACGCUCUUGACCUCGGAUCAGGUAGGGAUACCCGCUGAACUUAAGC